CUCGAGUUGUCUCUCAUGUCUAGACCAUUUGUGAGAAGGGAUUUACUGUUUGCACCAUUCACCUCACCAAUCUCUAAAUCUGCAAUUAGUAUUAUGCUCAUUCAAGAAAAUUAGCAUCUAGAAAGUUGGUACAUAAAGUGCAUUUAUGACUUUUGCUGAUGCUGUACACAUAUUUUUUUUUUUUGUAGAAUCAGUUCAUGACAAUUUUCCAAAUCAUAUACAGUUUUGGACAUACAUUUUGCCUAAGAAAUGUCAAACUUCUGUCUGGAGUGUUAGAAGGUUUUCAUGAUAGCUCAGAAUUUUAUAGCUUGCCCUACUUAAUUAGCUACAUUAGUUCACUUGUUAAGAAGUUGGGAAGUGGGGGGAGGUGCUGGGUUUCCCUUCUCAUCGAUGGUCUAGAUGUGCGAGGUGACUCUCAUAGUGU
rfam:Brassica oleracea var. oleracea cultivar TO1000 chromosome C8, whole genome shotgun sequence